GGAGUACAAUCAAAAAACCUUUCGGGUUCAGUGAGACAUGAAAUACUCAACCACACUUCAGAAAAAUUAAAUGAAUGUUAAUAUUAGUAUUCCUAUGAAUUCUUGGGACACAUGGCUAUCUCAGAUCUGUUGAUCAAAAUGCUUGAUUGCCAAGAUAAGAAAAUAAUUCUGUGUGUCUUCAGAGAUACUGUGAAAGUCACAGGGACAUUUUCUUGCUUAUUUCACUGCAAACAGAGGUAUUUCUCUUUAUUAUCUACCCAACAAGCACCAUGUCAACACUUUGUUUUCCCACAGCUGUUUUCCAACCCUCCAAGUAUGCUCAAACGUCAGCUAAGAAAUGUUCCUGGUUUUUUGCUCUCUAUAGAUAAUUAUAUCAUUUCCACAAGACAACUUUGCUCGGUCUACAUUGUAAAUAUUUGUGUUUUAAAUAUUAGGCCACAAUUCAGGAAAUAGAAAAUAAGAUAAGCAGUAUCACUGGAUUAGAAGAACAAGCUCAGUCUUUUGCUCAAUUUGUUACCACUGGAGAAUCUGCUCGAAUCAAAGCCAAGUUGACACAAAUAAGAAGAUACUGGGAAGAACUCCGGGAACAUGCACAGUGCCUGGAAGAAACAAUUCUUGGACAUUUAUCUCAGCAGCAAAAGUUUGAGGACAAUUUUAGAAAGAUCCAGCAAUCUGUGUCUGAAUUUGAAGAUAAACUUGCUGAUCCAAUUAAAAUAUGUUCUUCAGCUACAGAGACAUACAGAGUUCUCCAAGAACAUAUGGAUCUCUGCCAGGCCCUGGAGUCUCUGGGCGGCACACUCACCGCCUUCUCCACCAGUGCUCGGAAGGUGGUAAGCAGACACGUCUGCAUCCAGCAGGCUGCAGCUCUUCAGCAGCGGUAUGAGGGCACGCUCCAGAGGGUGAAAGACAGACAGAUUGUGCUGGAGAACCUGCUGGCCCUCUGGCAGAGGCUAGAGAAAGAACUGUCAUCUUUUUUGACCUGGUUGGAGCGGUGUGAAGCCAUCGCCAGUUCCCCAGAGAGGGACAUUUCUGCAGACAGAGUCAAAGUGCAGAGUGAACUUCAGUUAAUACAGGCAAGUUCGAGGAAGUGGGAGGAAGGAAAAUGAAAGGCUUUUGCUACAGCUGCAUUGUCUUUAAAAUAAAUAAAAUGCACCUCAUCACUCUAUCCC
rnacentral:lncRNA from 1 species